CAUUUUGGCCGCACCCUUGCCCCGGGGGUCAUGAUUUGAACAAACUUGAAUCUACACUACCAGAGGAUGAUUCCACAUGAGUUUCAUCUUUCCUGGCCUAGUGGUUCUGGAGAAGAAGAUUUUUUAAAAAUGCCAUUAAGUUUUAACAAAAUCAUGAUUAUCUCCUCUUGGAAAAGGGCGUGGCCCUUCAUUUGAACAAACUUGAAUCCCCUUCACAAAAGGAUACUUUGUGCCAAGUUUGGUUGAAAUUGGCUUACUGGUUCUUGAGAAGAAGAUGAAAAUGUGAAAAGUUUACAACAAUGCAAACGACAACGACGACGACGACAGACAACGGACAAAUUUUGAUCAGAAAAGCUCACUUGAGCCUUCGGCUCAGGUGAGCUUAAAAGGAGGGGGAGGUAUCAGGCAUUUUAAUUGAGGGGACUCGAGCAUGUGGUAGUAAUUUUUUCUAAAGUAUUAAUACCUGUUUUCUAUAGUAUACUGUAUGCUUUCUAUAGUAUUCUAAAUAUCGGAAAAGUAAUGACAAGAAAUUUCCUUUACGACAUUUUGAAGGGAAAUCGGAAGUCUUUUAAUUCAGGGAUAGACAAAAGUAAUUCAUUCUAUGAAGUAUAAAUGUAUACAACGUAGUUUAUAAAGCUAUUUUCAUUCAACUGCAAUAUUUCCGAUUUAAAAUUGGGUCUAUUUUAUUAACAGAUAAAAAUUUAUGACAAAUAUGUUUGAAAAUGUUCUCAAAUCCGGUAAGAUGUUUCUUCUUUCUUACGUCCAUGUACACUUGUUAUAAUUUUCUUUCUGCACCCUAGCCUUACUUUUAUUACGGUUAACUAUGACUAUGAUUAUAUCGGGAAAUUGAAUUCACGGAUUGCUUGUUUUAUUUUGAGUGAAUUGUUGAUUAAUUGAAUUUUUUUUCGAGUCAUGCAGGCAUACGAAAAUAAUGACGUCGCACCAACGUAAUAUAACGUCGUGA